UACAGAGGGUGCGAGCGUUGUCCGGAAUCACUGGGCGUAAAGGGCGCGUAGGCGGCUUGAUAAGGUUGCGGUGAAAGCCCGGGGCUCAACCCCGGGUCGGCCGUGGCAACUGUCGAGCUGGAGCACUGUAGAGGCAGGUGGAAUUCCAGGUGUAGCGGUGGAAUGCGUAGAGAUCCGGGAGAACACCGGUGGCGAAGGCGGCCUGCUGGGCAGUGGCUGACGCUGAAGCGCGACAGCGUGGGGAGCAAACAGG
rnacentral:rRNA from 1 species